AAGAUUUUAAGUUAAAGUAAACUAUUAACCUUCAAAGUUAAAAAUAUAUAUCUAAGAUAAAUCUUA
rnacentral:tRNA from 1 species